rnacentral:guide_RNA from 1 species
AUAAUAAAACACACAGAGCAUAAAGAAGAACUUGAUAAUGAGAUGAUAAA